rnacentral:rRNA from 1 species
AUGGCGGCGGCGGCGUCAGAGCACGCGGCCGAGGAGGGGACGAUGAGCAUCUACAAGGCGGCGAGGCGCAUCAAGCGGCGGGAGAGCACCCUGUACAACGCGCUGCGGAGCGUGGCCGACGACGCGGCCUUCGUGGCCGAGAUCGCGGCGCUGUGGCCGACCCUGCCGCUGGUCGCCAACCUCCGCUGCGGCCUCUGGUACGCGCAGCCGCGCUCCCUCGCCGCCACCUGCUACUUCAAGUCCACCGACGGCCACGCCGGCAACUGGGCCUUCUCCACCGCCCGCCUCAAUCUCCACCUCGCCCUCCUCGCCGGGGAAAGAGGAGGAUGCAUAAUAGUUGAUUCAACAAGGAAAGGGAAACGAUUUCCAGAUAGCAUGGCAAAGACAAUACCCAUUUGGUGCUGCGUUCUCAAUCGAGCCAUUCAGAGGCAUCGACUGCGGGCUAUCAACCAAAGUAGCGGAUUGAAUUCCGAAAUGUCAGCUGUUGUAUCAAACGGGGAUGCUGAAGAGUACUCUGGUUCAUCAAACUGGGAUAGCUCAGUUCAUCUUCCUGUAUGGGUUCUGGAAACUGAGAGAAAUGCAAUAGAGGGGCGUAUUGAAGAAUGGGCGGACCUAUUUGAAUCUUGUGGUGCAGACAUUCAUUCUCUUGCAUUAGGUUUGCAAAAACCACUCCGUCCACUGUGGAUAUCACAAAAUACACGUAUAUGGUUGAAUGAAGUACCAGAUCAUCAGUUAUGGGACUUCACUCCCAUCAUAUUAGUUUCAGCAUCUGCAUCUGGUACAGUGGCUACACAAAGAACGGCAUCAGAAUUCAGCUGGCGCUAUAUUCCUGGUGCAGGAGAUGAUGAAGAGAGUUGGGCACGUGGUCUAACUCCUACAUUAUUCUGGAAGCAUUCGUAUGAUCUACUUGAUGGUGGACCAGAUCUUUGUAAUCAGUUAGUUGCCGACAUCGUUGAAAAGGAUAGGGUUUACCGUGCACAGAGGGGUGAACAUUCUCCACAAGUUAUAGUUAAGCAUAUAAAGUGCUCAAGCUAUGGACAAGAAUCAUACACGGGAGAUCAUACAAUUAUCACACAACCUAUGAACUCGAACCCUUCUACUCUUGCUCCAGCAAAUACACAGUACUCCAAUGAUGGUCAUGUAGUCUUCUGGAUUGGGACAUCAAACAUUGCAGUAGCAUCUACCAUGCAAGUUGCAGAUGGCUUGGCUGAUAUGGAUUGCAUACUGAACUGUGACAGCACAUCAAGAUUGCCUUCUAAUUCAUCAGAAGAUUCUUACCUUGAACUACCUAUUGUGGAUUCCAAGGAUGAACGAUUUUCUUUGUUGAAAAAUCUUCCCAAAGCAGUUAGCUUUGCAAAGAAAAAUCUAAUCGCAAGGAGAAAAAUGCUGCUAUGUUGUCAAAGUGGAGAAGAUAUAAGCAUUUGUGUGGCUUUGGCAAUAAUCACACGGUUAUUCAAUGACACUGGGUGCUUCGACUGCGGCGAAUCUUUUAUGAGAAGAGACAUCACCAAGUUAGAGAUGAGGAAGAGGCUGGUGUUCAUUUGCAAAUACGCCGUUAAUGCGCGGCCAUCUAGGGGAAACUUGAGGCAGGUCUAUGGUUUUCUAUGCAACGAAAAGGAACAGCUGCCCCAUUAG